UACCAGCUCUCCGAGUGGUAGGGAUGAUUAUUGGGCUUAAAGCGUCCGUAGCCGGCUUAGCAAGUCUCCUGUUAAAUUCAGCGACCUAAUCGUUGAGCCGCGGGAAAUACUACUAGGCUAGGAGGCGGGAGAGGUCAACGGUACUUCCGGGGUAGGGGUGAAAUCCUAUAAUCCCGGGAGGACCACCAGUGGCGAAGGCUGUUGACUAGAACGCGCUCGACGGUGAGGGACGAAAGCUGGGGGAGCGAACCGGAUUAGAUACCCGGGUAGUCCCAGCUGUAAACGAUGCGAGCUAGGUGUUGGGAUGGCUACGUGCCAUUUCAGUGCCGCAGGGAAGCCAUUAAGCUCGCCGCCUGGGGAGUACGGCCGCAAGGCUGAAACUUAAAGGAAUUGGCGGGGAGCACCACAAGGCGUGAAGCUUGCGGUUC
rnacentral:rRNA from 1 species